CCAUGUUAAAAAUACCAGUUGACUGCAUGGAAAAAAGAUAGUUGGCUGACUAGUUGGGCAUGCGACUCAUACUAGUUGUGGGGUAGUUUACAACGAGUUCAUUUGUCU